rnacentral:rRNA from 1 species
AAGCUUGGUCCUGGCUUUACUAUCAUCUCUAGCCAAACUUACACAUGCAAGUAUCCGCACCCCUGUGAGAAUGCCCUCAAUCUCCUGACCGGAGACGAGGAGCCGGUAUCAGGCACACUCUAUUAUGAACAAGCCCAAGACGCCUUGCUUAGCCACACCCCCAAGGGACUUCAGCAGUGACAGACAUUAAGCAAUAAGUGAAAACUUGACUUAGUUAAGGCUAAUAGGGCCGGUCAACCCCGUGCCAGCCACCGCGGUUAUACGAGAGACCCAAGUUGAUAGACAUCGGCGUAAAGGGUGGUUACGGAACAACACCGCCACUAAAGUCAAACGCCUCCUAUUCUGUUAUACGCAUUUCGAGGCAAGAGGCCCCACCACGAAAGUGACUUUAAUAUUCCUUCCCGAACCCACUACAGCUAGGAAACAAACUGGGAUUAGAUACCCCACUAUGCCUAGCCAUAAACCCUGAUAGUAUUUUACAUUCACUAUCCGCCCGGGUACUACGAGCACCAGCUUGAAACCCAAAGGACUUGGCGGUGCCUCAGACCCAUCUAGAGGAGCCUGUUCUAGAACCGAUACCCCCCGUUCAACCUCACCACCCCUGGCCAAUCCCGCCUAUAUACCGCCGUCGCAAGCUUACCCUUUGAAGGCAUCAUAGUCAGCUUAAUGGGCACUGCCCCAAACGUCAGGUCGAGGUGUAGCGUAUGCGGUGGAAAGAAAUGGGCUACAAUCUCUACAACAGAGAACACGGAGGGUGCAAUGAAACGCACACCUGAAGGUGGAUUUAGCAGUAAAAGGAAAACAUGAGCGUUCCUCUGAAGCUGGCUCUGAAGCGCGCACACACCGCCCGUCACUCUCCCCAAGAUGACAGCACACUGAGUUAAUAAACAAAACUUUAAUUAAGGGGAGGCAAGUCGUAACAUGGUAAGUGUACCGGAAGGUGCACUUGGAUUAGU